AGAGAGAGAGACACCUAGGCCCCAACGCAGGCCAAUUACAUCAGUGUAUAUGACAGGUGGCCCAUGCAGUGGUAUUUUAAAAAUUCCCCAGAAGAUUCUAAUGUGCCUCUGCAGUUGAGAACUAAUUAGGUAAAUGAAAACAACAACAAAAACCAAAAAACCUCUUCAGAAACUAUGCCUGCUUCUUCAUCUUUGUCCCUUCUUUAAACACCUUGAAAGGUCUUAUUCCCUCCCAGCCCCUCCUGCCCCUAGGUUUUCCUAGAUGCCUCCAUAUUUCUGCUAUUCACAACUGGGGCUCACAGGAAAUGUAGACACUAGAAAGAGAGUUACAAUUGUUUUUGCAUCAGAAUGAUUAUGGAAUACAAAGUGCACAAAAGUUCUCCCUCCCCCACCACAGUCCAUUCUCAAACAGAGCAGCCAAAGUGAUUCUGUUAAAAUAUAUUUCAGAUCAUGCAUCCUCUGUUUAAAAUUGCAAUUGUUUUCCAUAUUCUUCAGAAUAGGAGCCUGUCCUUAUAGUGGCUAAGGAGUGGCAAUGGAAGAAGCCUACUCAACAUGAAGAUGACAAGGACAGCUCAGCCAAGCUUCUGAUUCCCUGGAACCUGGAGCACUUCAUCAGUUUGGCCGCAGAAGGCACAACUGCUCUGGGGGACCUAAGCUUAGGGUCCCUGGAAGGUGAAAGCAUUGACUCAGCUUUGGCACUGGAGAAGCAGGAUGCUCUGAAUUAGGUUAUUAUCGAUGCAUAUUUGACCUGCUCAUCGAGUCUGACAAGUGACCCGGGAACCAUUUCAUCCUGAUUAAGAACCAUUAUUGGGGAACUAGUACAGUUAUUUGGAGAAAGUCAUGUACAGAGGAGUUUAAGACGACAGAUGGGAAGCAGCUAGUAUACACUGCUCUCAUGGAGAUGAAACAAAGUGGUGAGUAAAUACUAGUUCCUCAAGUGGAUUGUCAAGGAGAUCCCAUGAAGAUUCACCAAGGAAGCAACAGGACCAACAGAGAACAAGAGGAGCGAAGCCAGGCAGCUGCCCACCCAGAACUGAUGGAGAGUGGGGGAAGCUCCCUCACGCAGGGAAAGGUGAGUGAGUGAGAGUCCUGAGGGGAUCUAUACUUCUGUGAUAGACCUUUGCAAUCCCGGACAUGAGAGAUAUUCCUGACCCCCAGGAGCCUCCAGAUUGAGAUGGAGAGCCACCUAGAGUCUUUGCAGAAGAACCAUUGAAGCCCACAUGGGGCCCUACAGGCCUUGAAUCCCUGAGUAGUCCAGUGCCAUCUGCUGUAGCCCCAACAGAGGCUGCAGCCAUGGUGCUAAGAAGCAGCCAGACUGCCCCACUGCUCCUCAGUAGGCAAGGCUUGCCAGCAUGGGUUUCCAGCACAGUGGCCCCACCCCAACCUGAACCUGGGUGGUCAUGGCUCUGAGUUUCUCCAGGAAGCACCCAGGCUGCAGACUAUGUGACCUCCUAUCCCCACUGCUCCUCAUCCGGCAGGGCUUGCUGACUUGGGCUCCUAAUGCCUAAUGCCCCAACUUUGCCUGAAUACUGUGGGUGGUCACAGCUCUGCAUUUCUCCAGAAAGCACCCAGACUAAAGACCGUGUGACCCCUACCCACACUGCUCCUUGCAAGGCAGGGCUUGCCAACCUGGGCUCCUAGUGCAGCAGCCCUGGAUCCACCUAAACACCUGUUGUCAGUCACAGCUCUGCAUUUCUCUGGGACAAAACUCCAAAAGGUAACAAACAAGGCUUGGCACCUUUGCAUUGUUCUGACAGUGAAGUCUAGCACUGCUUGGGUAAAAGUGAAGUGCAAGUGUGCCAUGUGCCCCACAGCUGCCAGUCUCCAUUGCUCCAGCUGAGGGAUCUUCCCCUCCUCAGUGAAAGGCCCACUGCAUAGCCACCCUUACCCUACUUGAACAUUUCAUCUGCAGUCCACAGCCAUUCUGAAAACCCAACUCCCACAGGUUUGUGAUAUUCCUUUUGGUUCCCCCCACCUAAGUGUUCUGCCUGCCCCUGGUUUCCACCAUCUAAGCAUUUUACCUGCUGCCACCUAAGAGUUUGGCCAGUGACCCAGGGACCAACCCGCCACUCUUCAUCAUAACCAGCACUUGAACUCUGGGUUAGCCUGAUUCUGGCACAGCCCUUUCAGGACUCAUACCCAUUGCUCUGCAAGCCAUCGAGGAGCCUGGAAAUUACCUACGUACCCUACCCCUACCCUGUUCCAACUCUACAGGCACUGGACCACUUCCCCAGGGCCCAAAGUCAGGCUGACCUAACCAGUCACCACCACCAGAACCAAAACUCACUCAUGUGGGCCCAAAGGUGGAGACCCCCCGCCCACCCACCAUUUACAAGCAGCAGCAGUACUGUCACACUGGCAAAGACGUGAGCCAUAAAACUGUCUGUAUCAGGUUCAGAGAUUAAAUUAUGCCCUGAAACCACUCCCACAGAGAGUCACAAAACAGGCAUUUACUGUGGCUCUCAACCUCACUGUAGUCCAGAGAUAGACUAGAAUAUGAAUCUAAACUAGGAGUCAUGAGCCCUGGAACAAUUGUGUAAUAGGAAAACAGAUCAAGUUCCUGCCUAUGUAGGAUAGGAAGCUGGUGCAACCAUCUCAACUCCCUGCAGAGUCUUUAGUGCACUUCAUAAGGAACUCCUCCCAUUAACCCUCAUCAGGGCAGGUGCCUGUGCUUGCCAUUUGGGCAUUUGUGGGAAAGCAAGGGGCUCCAGCUGUGUCUCUCCAACCCCACAGAACAGGAAACUUAUGGCACCAGGUACUCCAAUGUCCAGUCCUUCACUUGAAACAACAGAGAGCACCUCAAUAAACAAAGAUCAGGUACCUACCUACCUGCUUAUGUUGCAACUGGCUCUCACCUGAGAGCACCACUGACCAACUUCUAGGUCAAACUGCACAGCUCAAUAUAAAACCAGCCCACGGAAGUGCAUAAGGCAAUAGAAGCAAAGCCAAAACACCAUAAGUCAACAGAGGCAAUGCCAAAAGACCCACCCACUCCUCUCCAGACAAGCAGGAACUAGCAUAAGAAUUCUGACACUAUAGGCCGGGUGUGGUGGCUCACGCCUGUAAUCCCAGCACUUUGGGAGGCUGAG
rnacentral:lncRNA from 1 species